CUGGGAGCAAGACCUGGAAGGGUGUAUUCCAGUCCCUGAUUUCCCCCUUCCCUCUCUGCUUCCUGGCUGCCAUAGGAUGAGCAAUUUUUCUCCACCAGGCCCUUCCACCAUGUGUUUCUGCCUUAGAAUCAGCCAACUUCGGAUUGAACCCACUGGAAACUGUGAGCCAAAUAAACCUCGCUUCCUUUGAGUUGUGGCAUUGGCUAUUUUAUCUCAGCACGAGGAGGUUCCAGCUGCCCUUCCCCUGAAGAUAGUCCUGGGUCCUGAUGGGAGGUGAAGAUGACUCCAACUUACCCAGUACAGUGGUCUGGUGGUCCAGUGUCCUCUGCGUCUUUGAAGCGUGGAACCAGAGCUUCUUUUGGAAUGGAUUCAGCAAAGCCCACUCCUCCCUUAUGAAGUUCACAGCCACAUGCUCAAAGGUCACUGCCUCCAUCGCAUGGCUCCCGGUCUCGCAGAGUCCUUCCUGUGCAGCCUGGAGCCAGCAGAAGUCACAUAAGGUGAACUAGCCCCCUGCGGGUAUUCAG
ensembl:lncRNA